rnacentral:rRNA from 1 species
GGUAUUUUGACCGUGCUAAGGUAGCAUAAUCAAUUGUUUUUUAAUUGAAAACUAGUAUGAACGGUUUAAUUUACUUAAUUAGUUUGUAAUUUUUAAUAGUAAGUUAAAUAUAAAGUAAGAAUUCUUUAAUAAAUUAGGGGACGAUAAGACCCUAAAAGCUUUAUGAUUGGUAUUUAAUUGGUGAUAGCGGUGUUAUUAAUUCACUGGGGCAGUGAGUUUAGGUAUAUUUAAGUAUAGUUAAAAGCUCCUUUAAAUAAAGAUUUCAUGUAUAAGUUACUUUAGGGAUAACAGUGCAAUAUAUUUGGGGAGACCAUAUCUAUAAAUAUGAUUGCAACCUCG